UACGUAGGGUGCAAGCGUUGUCCGGAAUUAUUGGGCGUAAAGAGCUCGUAGGCGGUCUGUCGCGUCGGCUGUGAAAACCCGAGGCUCAACCUCGGGACUGCAGUCGAUACGGGCAAACUAGAGUACUGCAGGGGAGACUGGAAUUCCUGGUGUAGCGGUGAAAUGCGCAGAUAUCAGGAGGAACACCGGUGGCGAAGGCGGGUCUCUGGGCAGUAACUGACGCUGAGGAGCGAAAGCGUGGGGAGCGAACAGG
rnacentral:rRNA from 1 species